GAGCAGAAGAUAAGAGAUGAAGAGAGGUGAGAGAAGGGGAUGGGAGCAGAGGAGAGAGAGAACCAGGGCAAAGGGAGGAGGAGGAGGAGGCGGCCUGGCCACGGGGUGAAGAAAUCUGACUCUGUAGUCCAGAUAAGGAAGCAGGUAAUAACUCCAAGAACAAGUGUGUAGGUACUGAGGUACAGCACAUACCUACGAAUACCCAACACCCACACCUCCACACACUAUACUGUACACUCACACCAGCACACACACAUGAACAUAUCUACACCACCAUGCUUCACCCCAUACACCGAAGACACACACACUAGCACAUGCACACACACCUCACCACCUCAUUAUCCCUACACCACACCACUCCACGAACACAACAGCCACACCAGUAGCUGCCAGAUCCAUAGAUCUCUGGCAUCCACGCAACAUCAGAUCUUUGCUUUGCUGUGACACUUGACUAUUAACCGGCAUUCAUGUUAAACCCUGAGAAAAACCUGCUUCAGUCCACCCAUGCAUGAAAAAGGAGGAGUUCUCAGUGUUUACAGCAUGGUACCAGGGGGACAGUAGGUGCUCUGUGGAUAAACCUGGAAUGGCCCCAUGGUCCCUGGCUCUCCCCUGUGGGAGAACUGGGCAAGGCUAUACCUGGCUGUAUGUUCUGACCUCCUAAAUGAUUUAACCCAGGGGGGCCCUAAAGACUGGCCUCCAAUGACCACAACCCAAAUGCCUGUCCAUCUGAUGGAAUAUUCCAGAGUGAAAAUGAACCACGCACUACAAUAUCCAUGAAUCUUCAUAAUAUUGAGUAAAAAGAGCAAGUGUCAGAUCACUACAUACAUGCCUGAUAGUCAACAUUCAAGAACAACAGAAACGAAACACUACAUAAUUUAGGAACAUAUGCCUAUAAAAUAAAAACUUUUUUUUAAGGACUUCCCUGGUGGCUCAGUGGUGAAGAAUCCACCUGCUGAUGCAGGGGACAUGAGGUCAUUCCCUAGGAAGAUUCCACAUGCCACGGGGAAACUAAGCCCGUGUGCUCUAGAACCUGUACUUUGCAACAAGAGAAGCCACCACAAUGAGAAGCCCACUCACAGCAACUACAGAGUAGCCCCCUGCUCACAGAAACCAGAGAAAGCCCAUGCCCCGCAAUGACGACCCAGCGCAGCCAAAAAUAAAAUAAAUAAAUAAAAUGCCUGUUCUUUAAAAAAAAAAAAAAAUUUAAGAAAUGUAAAAAAAUGCUAAACAAAAUUCAGGACAGCAUGUUACAUGUGGCAGAAGAAAGGACGGGACUAAGAAAGGAUCGUGUAGAUAGAUGAGUGUCAUUGUGAAUGUCUGCUUCUUGAACUGCAAGCUGGAUUCAUCACCCAACAUCAGUUCAGAUCAGUCGCUCAGUCGUGUCUGACUCUUUGCGACCCCAUGGACUGCAGCACUCAAUAUAAUAUUAAUAACAG
ensembl:lncRNA